UACGUAGGGGGGCAAGCGUUGUCCGGAUUUAUUGGGCGUAAAGAGCGUGUAGGCGGUUAGGUAGGUCCGUUGUGAAAACUCGAGGCUCAACCUCGAGACGCCGAUGGAAACCAUCUGACUAGAGUCCGGAAGAGGAGAGUGGAAUUCCUGGUGUAGCGGUGAAAUGCGCAGAUAUCAGGAGGAACACCAAUGGCGAAGGCAGCACUCUGGGACGUGACUGACGCUGAGACGCGAAAGCGUGGGGAGGCAAACAGG
rnacentral:rRNA from 1 species